AGUGAGAAUGGUGAUAAGUCUAUCAGAAUCCUAUGUGCUUCUGAGCUCAUUGGUUCAGUUAUUGGGAAAAGUGGGGCUAAUGUUAGGCGGGUAGAGCAGCAGACUGGUGCUCGCAUUAAAGUUCAAGAGAUUGACAAAGAUGCUUCUGGAGAAAGGCUGAUCAUUGUUUCAUCUAAUGAGAUACCAACUGAACCAAUAUCCCCAACAAUUGAGGCACUCAUUUUGCUCCAUGAUAAAGUGGGCAGGUGAUUACUGAAAUGAGAAGACGAACUGGGGCUGAAAUUCGAGUUUACUCGAAGGCAGAUAAACCAAAAU